CGGCUUGUCCGUCGGGUGUGAAAGCCCGGGGCUUAACCCCGGGUCUGCAUUCGAUACGGGCUAGCUAGAGUGUGGUAGGGGAGAUCGGAAUUCCUGGUGUAGCGGUGAAAUGCGCAGAUAUCAGGAGGAACACCGGUGGCGAAGGCGGAUCUCUGGGCCAUUACUGACGCUGAGGAGCGAAAGCGUGGGGAGCGAACAGGAUUAGAUACCCUGGUAGUCCACGCCGUAAACGGUGGGAACUAGGUGUUGGCGACAUUCCACGUCGUCGGUGCCGCAGCUAACGCAUUAAUUUCCCCGCCUGGGGAAUACGGCCGCUAGGCUAAUACUC
rnacentral:rRNA from 1 species